rnacentral:rRNA from 1 species
AUUGAACGCUGGCGGCAGGCCUAACACAUGCAAGUCGAGCGGAUGAAGGGAGCUUGCUCCUGGAUUCAGCGGCGGACGGGUGAGUAAUGCCUAGGAAUCUGCCUGGUAGUGGGGGAUAACGUCCUGAAACGGGCGCUAAUACCGCAUACGUCCUGAGGCAGAAAGUUGGGGAUCUUCGGACCUCACGCUCUCUGAUGAGCCUAGGUCGGAUUAGCUAGUUGGUGGGGUAAAGGCCUACCUAGGCGACGAUCCGUAACUGGUCUGAGAGGAUGAUCAGUCACACUGGAACGGAGACACGGUCCAGAGUCCUACGGGAGGCAGCAGUGGGGAAUAUUGGACAAUGGGCGAAAGCCUGAUCCAGUCGUGCCGCGUGUGUGAAGAAGGUCUUCGGAUUGUAAGGCACUUUAAGUUGGGAGGAAGGGCAGUAAGUUAAUACCUUGCUGUUUUGACGGUACCAACAGAAGAAGCACCGGCUAACUUCGUG